rnacentral:tRNA from 1 species
GCGGCCGUAGUCUAGCCUGGUCUAAGCGCUUAAAAGCGCUGCCAAAAGGACACGAGCCUGCCACUCGCGGGGCGAAGCUUGUGACGCGGGUUCAAAUCCCGCCGGCCGCA